GAACCUUACCUGGUCUUGACAUCCCGGAGACCCUUAGGAAACUAGGGGGUGCUUCCAUCUGGAAGAAUCUGGAGACAGGUGCUGCAUGGCUGUCGUCAGCUCGUGUCGUGAGAUGUUGGGUUAAGUCCCGCAACGAGCGCAACCCUUGCCUUUAGUUGCCAGCAGUUCGGCUGGGCACUCUAAAGGGACUGCCGGUGUUAAACCGGAGGAAGGUGGGGAUGACGUCAAGUCCUCAUGGCCUUUAUGACCAGGGCUACACACGUACUACAAUGGCCGAUACAAAGGGCAGCGACACUGCGAGGUGAAGCCAAUCCCGUAAAAUCGGUCUCAGUCCGGAUUGGAGUCUGCAACUCGACUCCAUGAAGUUGGAAUCGCUAGUAAUCGUGGAUCAGCAUGCCACGGUGAAUACGUUCCCGGGCCUU
rnacentral:rRNA from 1 species